GAACAAAAAGAGGCCGAGUCGAUUCCUAUACUCGGCCUAGGGAAAAAUGGCUCAAUCAAGGAGCCCCGCGCUAAAAAUUGCCAUUGAGACGUAGAACAACUUGCCACUUAAAGCGUAGUUGAGAUGAUAAAAUUUACCAAAUU
rnacentral:sRNA from 1 species